UUGUGGUCUGCAGUAGUGGAUGAGGGUACGACUCUCGCUAUCAGGACCUAGCAUCUGCCAUCAAGCAAGAACGUUCUGAUGCGAUGGUGACGGGAACCACGGGCGGCGCUCCAGUUUCGAGGUAACAGUGAAUGGUAAACUGGCCUACUCUAAACUGGAGGCAGGAGGAUUCCCAGACACCAAGGAGAUGGUGGCGAUGGUGAAGGAGGUGAGCCGCGGAGGAAAGGUUGAGAGAGUGAAGAAGAAGGAUAAUAAGUGUGUUCUCCAAUAGAUGAGUGGAUAUUAAGAGAGGGAGAGAAGGAGAGUGUUUUUUAAGAUCCUGGUCUGAUCUGAUUCUAUUAAUGAUUGUUCACAAUGAAAUAAGGAUGUGCAACAUGAUGAAGUCUACAGUCAUUUCAACUCUGUGAUCUGAGGGAAAUACUCUCAUCCUGUGUCUCUGUUUUAUACUGUCAUGUCUUAUGUUAUUCCUUGUCUGUUUUUCUUUCGUUAUACAGACAAAGAUAUUAUAGACUGACUAGUUUUACAUUCUAGAAAUUAUAUUGUACUCAAUGUAGACCUCUGCAGUUGUAUAGGCUGUACGUGUAUUUUUAAAUUAUCACAUAAAUUCUAUGAAUCAAUUA